rnacentral:misc_RNA from 1 species
UUUCCGUAGGUGAACCUGCGGAAGGAUCAUUCAUAAUAAGUGUCUUAUGGCACUUUUUUAAAUCCAUACCCACCUUGUGUGCAAUGUCAGGGUUGAUUUUUCUCUCGAGAGGAUCAACCCCAAACAUCAACUAUAUCUCAACUCUUUGUCUGAAAAAUAUUAUGAAUAAAACAAUUCAAAAUACAACUUUCAACAACGGAUCUCUUGGCUCUC